rnacentral:rRNA from 1 species
AUUGAACGCUGGCGGCAUGCCUUACACAUGCAAGUCGAACGGUAACAGGUCUUCGGAUGCUGACGAGUGGCGAACGGGUGAGUAAUACAUCGGAACGUGCCUAGUAGUGGGGGAUAACUACUCGAAAGAGUGGCUAAUACCGCAUGAGAUCUACGGAUGAAAGCAGGGGAUCGCAAGACCUUGUGCUACUAGAGCGGCCGAUGUCAGAUUAGGUAGUUGGUGGGAUAAAAGCUUACCAAGCCGACGAUCUGUAGCUGGUCUGAGAGGACGAUCAGCCACACUGGGACUGAGACACGGCCCAGACUCCUACGGGAGGCAGCCGUGGGGAAUAUUGGACAAUGAGCGCAAGCCUGAUCCAGCAAUGCCGCGUGCAGGAUGAAGGCCUUCGGGUUGUAAACUGCUUUUGUACGGAACGAAAAGCCCCGGGUUAAUACCCUGGGGUCAUGACGGUACCGUAAGAAUAAGCACCGGCUAACUACGUGCCAGCCGCCGCGGUAA